rnacentral:tRNA from 1 species
GCGCCGCGCCCAGGCCGAGGGCGAGCCCUCCCCGGACGCGGGCGACCGCUUCGGCGAGGAGGAGGCGGGCCCGGUCCGGGUCCGGGGCGGCGGG